AACGAACGCUGGCGGCAGGCCUAACACAUGCAAGUCGAACGCUCCGGCAAGGGGAGUGGCGCACGGGUGAGUAACACGUGGGAACCUACCUUCUGGUACGGAACAACCAAGGGAACUUUGGCUAAGACCGUAUACGACCUCGGGUGAAAGAUUGAUCGCCGGAAGAGGGGCCCCGCGUCCGAUUAGGGUAGUUGGUGAGGUAACGGCUCACCAAGCCUUCGAUCGGUAGCUGGUCUGAGAGGAUGACCAGCCACACUGGGACUGAGACACGGCCCAGACUCCUACGGGAGGCAGCAGUGGGGAAUAUUGGACAAUGGGCGCAAGCCGUGGAUCCAGCCAUGCCGCGUGAGUGAUGAAGGCCU
rnacentral:rRNA from 1 species